rnacentral:rRNA from 1 species
AACGAACGCUGGCGGCAGGCCUAACACAUGCAAGUCGAGCGAGGACUUCGGUUCUAGCGGCGGACGGGUGAGUAACGCGUGGGAAUGUGCCCUUCUCUACGGAAUAGCCCUGGGAAACUGGGAGUAAUACCGUAUACGCCCUUUUGGGGAAAGAUUUAUCGGAGAAGGAUCAGCCCGCGUUGGAUUAGGUAGUUGGUGGGGUAAUGGCCUACCAAGCCGACGAUCCAUAGCUGGUUUGAGAGGAUGAUCAGCCACACUGGGAUUGAGACACGGCCCAGACUCCUACGGGAGGCAGCAGUGGGGAAUCUUAGACAAUGGGGGCAACCCUGAUCGAGCCAUGCCGCGUGAGUGAUGAAGGCCUUAGGGUUGUAAAGCUCUUUCAGCUGGGAAGAUAAUGACGGUACCAGCAGAAGAAGCCCCGGCUAACUCCGUG